GCUGUGUUUGGAAUUAAUGGGUUCAGCUUCAUUCUGAGCACCGGGGAAGGCUAUUUUAGAAAGCAACUUCCCAGGCUGCGACUGGUCUUCACUGAUGUGGCAAACCCAACCUCUGAGCAGACGGUCUUCAAAUAGAACUGGCCCGGCGUCUGGAAGGCACAGCGGGGCCGCCCCUUUCAGGGCGCAACCCCUGGUGUCCCCCAGCCCUGGGUGACGUCCCGCCUCGCCCUGCCCCCAUCCUGGCUGGCUGGAGGUGUCCUCCAUCCACAGUAGCAGGAAGGCGGUGUGGGGGCGGGGGAGGGCGAGAUCCCUCCGAAAUGUGACAAAGGGAACAGCGCCAGGCUUCUGCCCAACAGCACGACCAAGCGCAUCCCUCCCCCAGGUGACACAAGAUGAAUGCUGAAUCCUAGAAAAAUGGUCAGAAGAGGGACCAGAGUUCAGCCUGUCUGAUCUGGGAUGUGAAUGGACCCCUUGCGCCUUCUGACAUACUGGGAGGUGAUAAAUAAGGUGAAUGAAAUUGUAAACAAGAAGCUCAUGUUGGCUCACUAUAACUAUGGUUCCUCUAGGAUGACUGCAAAACACUGAAAAUAAAAUUCUGUACCCCAGAUCA
ensembl:lncRNA